rnacentral:lncRNA from 1 species
AUGGGGUGCCUCACGAGGGAAUCAGGGUCCCUCAGGAGGGAAUGGGGGUCCCUCACAAGGGAAUCGGGGUCCCUUGCCAGAAAAUGGGGUGCCUUGCCAGGGAAUGGGGUCCCUCAGCUGGGAAUCGGGGUCCCUCACCUGGGAAUUGGGGUCCCUUGCCAGAAAAUGGGGUGCCUUGCCUGGGAAUUGGGGUCCCUCAGCUGGGAAUCGGGGUCCCUGGGGUCCUUUGCCAUGAAAUGGGGUCCCUCAGCUGGGAAUCAGCGUCCCUCAUCAGGAAAUGGGGUCCCUCAGGAGGGAAUUGGGGUCCCUCGCCAUGAAAUGCGGUCCCUUACCAGGAAAUGGGAUGCCUUGCCUGGGAAUCAGGGUCCCUCACCAGGAAUUGGGGUCCCUCACCAGGAAAUGGGGUCCCUCAUGAGGGAAUGGGGUCCCUUACUAGGAAUUGGGGUCCCCUGUGAGGAAAUGGGGUCCCUCACGAGGGAAUUGGGGUCCCUCAUCUGGGAAUUGGGGUCUCUUGCCAGGAAACGGGGUCCCUCACCUGGGAAUCAGGGUCCCUCACCUGGGAAUGGGGUGCCUCACGAGGGAAUCAGGGUCCCUCAGGAGGGAAUGGGGGUCCCUCACAAGGGAAUCGGGGUCCCUUGCCAGAAAAUGGGGUGCCUUGCCAGGGAAUGGGGUCCCUCAGCUGGGAAUCGGGGUCCCUCACCUGGGAAUUGGGGUCCCUUGCCAGAAAAUGGGGUGCCUUGCCUGGGAAUUGGGGUGCCUCACAAGGGAAUGGGGGUCCCUUGCCAGGAAAUGGGGUGCCUCACAAGGGAAUGGGGGUCCCUUGCCAGGAAAUGGGGUGCCUUCUCUGGGAAUUGGGGUCCCUUGCUGGGGAAUGGGGUGCCUUGCUGGGAUGUGGGGGUCCCUCGCCUGGGAACUGGGGUCCCUUGCCAAGAAAUGGGGUGCCUCACAAGGGAAUGGGGGUCCCUUGCCAGGAAAUGGGGUCCCUCACCUGGGAAUCGGGGUCCCUUACUAGGAAAUGGGGUCCCUUGCCAGGAAAUGGGGUGCCUUGCUGGGAUGUGGGGGUCCCUCACCUGGGAAUGGGGUCCCUCCCCUGGGAAUUGGGGUCCUUUGCCAUGA